rnacentral:rRNA from 1 species
UGAGCAAUCUGCCCUUCACAUCGGAAUAACCAUUGGAAACGAUGGCUAAUACCGAAUAUGACUUCGGAUCGCAUGAUCUGAAGUGGAAAGCUCCGGCGGUGAAGGAUGAGCUCGCGGCCUAUCAGCUUGUUGGUGAGGUAACGGCUCACCAAGGCGACGACGGGUAGCUGGUCUGAGAGGACGACCAGCCACACUGGAACUGAGAUACGGU